GAUGAAGAACGCAGCGAAAUGCGAUACGUAAUGUGAAUUGCAGAAUUCAGUGAAUCAUCGAGUCUUUGAACGCACAUUGCGCCCCCUGGUAUUCCGGGGGGCAUGCCUGUCCGAGCGUCAUUGCUGCCCUCAAGCACGGCUUGUGUGUUGGGUCGUCGUCCCCUCUCCGGGGGGGACGGGCCCCAAAGGCAGCGGCGGCACCGCGUCCGAUCCUCGAGCGUAUGGGGCUUUGUCACCCGCUCUGUAGGCCCGGCCGGCGCUUGCCGAACGCAAAUCAAUCUUUUUCCAGGUUGACCUCGGAUCAGGUAGGGAUACCCGCUGAACUUAAGCAUAUCAAUAAGCGGAGGA
rnacentral:misc_RNA from 1 species